AUACGUAGGUGGCAAGCGUUGUCCGGAAUUAUUGGGCGUAAAGCGCAUGUAGGCGGUUUGGUAAGUCGGUCGUGAAAAUGCGGUGCUUAACGCCGUAUGGCGAUUGAAACUGCUGAACUUGAGUGCAGGAGAGGAAAGGGGAACUCCCAGUGUAGUGGUGAAAUGCGUAGAUAUUGGGAAGAACACCGGUGGCGAAGGCGCCUUUCUGGACUGUGUCUGACGCUCAGAUGCGAAAGCCAGGGUAGCGAACGGGAUUAGAUACCCCGGUAGUCCUGGCCGUAAACGAUGGGUACUAGGUGUGGGAGGUAUCGACUCCUUCCGUGCCGGAGUUAACGCAAUAAGUACCCCGCCUGGGGAGUACGGCCGCAAGGCUUAAACUCAAAUGAAUUGACGGGG
rnacentral:rRNA from 1 species